GUAGGGAAUAUUGCACAAUGGGGGAAACCCUGAUGCAGCGACGCCGCGUGAGUGAUGAAGGCCUUCGGGUCGUAAAGCUCUGUCGUAUGGGACUAACAAAAUGAAGGUACCAUGCAAGAAAGGAUCGGCUAACUUCGUGCCAGCAGCCGCGGUAAGACGAGGGAUCCUAGCGUUGUUCGGAAUUAUUGGGCGUAAAGCGGGUGUAGGCGGGCCUGUCAGUCAGGUGUGAAAUCCCAGGGCUUAACCCUGGAAGUGCACUUGAUACUGCAGGUCUUGAAGGUGGUAGAGGCUAUUAGAAUUCUUGGUGUAGUGGUGAAAUACGUAGAUAUCAAGAGGAAUACCGGAGGCGAAGGCGGAUAGCUGGGCCAACACUGACGCUGAGACCCGAAAGCGUGGGGAUCAAACAGGAUUAGAUACCCCUGUAGUCC
rnacentral:rRNA from 1 species